AUUGAACGCUGGCGGCAGGCCUAACACAUGCAAGUCGAACGAGUGGCGGACGUGUGAGUAAUGUCUGGGAAACUGCCUGAUGGAGGGGGAUAACUUCUGGAAACGGUAGCUCAUACCGCAUACCAUCGGAUGUGCCAAGAUGGGAUUAGCUAGUAGGUGGUGUAAAGGCUCACCGAGGCGACGAUCCCUAGCUGGUCUGAGAGGAGGACCAGCGACGCUGAAACUGGGAGCCGGUGCAGACUCCUGCGGGAGGCAGCGGUGGGUAAUAUUGCACAAUGGGCGCAAGCCUGAUGCAGCCAUGCCGCGUGUAUGAAGAAGGCCUUCGGGUUGUAAAGUACUUUCAGCGGGGAGGCGUUACCCGCAGAAGAAGCGCCGGCUAACUCCGUGCCAGCAGCCGCGGUAAUAC
rnacentral:rRNA from 1 species